rnacentral:lncRNA from 1 species
CUCCUAACAUUGCAACAUGAUGGUGGCAUGAUAGUAUUUCUCCCAAUUUCACCCUCUAUGGCUCCUCUCUCCAAUUUACUCUCUAGCACCGUGAGAAAAUAGCAACAAUGCUGGUCCCUUUAAUUCUCCUUUUUCCCUUAUCAUCCAUCUCUUUCUCAUCUAAGCUACAACUAAACUACCACAUGUAAUCUCUAUCUCCCCAUCUUUUUUUACCUAUACAAUCAUUGUCAUUUUUGCUGUAAUAAAAAGUCUAGGUCAUAAAAAUUUGGCCAAUCCCA